rnacentral:SRP_RNA from 1 species
ACGGUCGGCCUCAUUGGCGGGCGAUCCGCGAACCUGGUCAGGGCUUGACGGCAGCAGCCAUAAGUGGCGUUGUUCGAGCUUUGGGUAACCGGCCGUCCU